rnacentral:lncRNA from 10 species
CCACAGCCCUCCUCCACAUGGUUAGGAAUUGUGCCAGGCUCUCUGUUAUAUAUCCAGUUACAUCUGCUCCUUCUACACAUUUAGGAUACCAGGAACACAGAUGUUCUUGGCUUCUAGCCAUUUCCAGCAUUGUUUCCUCUGCAAGUAAAUUUUUCAUUAUACAUUUAUCAAAGCAUGUUACUUCCUGUUGGUCCUCAUCCUUAGCACUAGAUCAGCCAUAUUGUAGCAACUGCCCUUUAAUUCUGGUUGUCCUCUCCUCUCUUCUAGGCUGUCAUGAGUAAUCAAAGACCCUCAAACUUCACCUCAAAGAAGAAUACAGCUGAGCAGAGGCAACUUUAGUUCUGUAAUGAAAGGCUCCAAGAGAAAUUACAAAGGUGAGGAGGAUUUCUGACAGAUAGAGACACUUCAGCAACCAUGCCAACUCACUGCCAACUUGGACAUAUGUACAGAGCAGAAAGCAUGCUAAAGUUUCUUAUGCACAGAUCCAAGAGCCCACUGACAUUCACCACUGACUGAAGAACAUGUCAAUAUCGCUACAGCAUAGUCAAGUUUGGACUGAGCCAUGUGAAAGGUUCUGGAAAGGAGAAGAUGACCACCUGGUUGGGGCACCACUCUGCUAUGUAUAUGUGCCUCAUUUGGCAUCCACUUUGUGUGUCUACUGCUGGGCUUCCAUCUGUCAAAUCUCAACAUAAUGUCAGAGAUAUAAACUGGAGAUUCCAUGGCUACGAAAGGCAUUUUUCUGCUGGCUGCCUGAUGGCUGUCUGGGACGUAAAAUUUCAAAAGCAAUCCUUGCUGACUGACCCUUUUAUAUGGUAUGUACAUUUUAAUUUCAACUCUGCAGAAUGUCUGUUUAAUCAAUAUAUCACUUCAAAAAAAUCUUUUUAAAUGUAAAGAUACAAGUAAGAGACUACACUCCAUGAUUUUAAUAUAAACUCAG